rnacentral:rRNA from 1 species
UACAGAGGGUGCGAGCGUUAAUCGGAAUUACUGGGCGUAAAGGGCGCGUAGGCGGUUUGAUGGGUGUGAUGUGAAAGCCCUGGGCUUAACCUAGGAAGCGCAUCGCAAACUAUGGAACUGGAGUAGAUGAGAGGGUGGCGGAAUUUCCGGUGUAGCGGUGAAAUGCGUAGAUAUCGGGAGGAACACCUGUGGCGAAAGCGGCGCACUGGACCACAUCUGACGCUGAGGCGCGAAAGCUAGGGGAGCAAACAGG